GUGAUUGCUACUUCUUUUUCAGCUUAUAAUAUCCAAAAUUAUACCAUCUAUUUACUUUUCCUACACUUUUUCUUUUUGGAGAAAGCUUAGCAUGGCUGCUCAUUCAUUAUAGAUACAUGCCUUGAACGAGAAGGUAGCUUACUGGGCAACUUUCUCCUUCAACAUGCCCCACAAAUAAAUACAGUGACUUGGGAGUUGGGAAGCUCUUUUUCUUUCUCUCCCAAGCCUGUUACAGUGCCCAGAACAUAAGCCAACAAAAAGGAAACAAAUCAAGAGAAUCAUAGAACAAAGCUUACAGUCCAACUAAGGGCUUCAGCAAAGAUCAUAUACCACUAGACAAACCAGAACUAAGAUGCAAAGCAGGAUACUAGAAUAUAAAAAACUGACAGGAGAGAACCCAAAAUGCUAAUGACUACUGCUAGAUUGUCGGUAUCUUUAAGAAUUGACACUUUACAGCUUCAAAGAAAGAACCUGAAGCAUUACAUUAUUUGUAACUUAGAUGUCUUAUUAUUCCAAAUCUUCAUUUUGAGAUCAAAAUAUGCAAUAAUCAAAUGGGGAAUGCUUUUAGAAGACAACAGCUUUGAUGAUGUUUUUUAUUCCUUAAAUUCUAGUGAUUUGCAAUACUUUUGACUUUAACCAGUGAUACUGUAUGGAGGUAGACGGUAAGAAGAAAAAAAAAUGAAAGAAAUGAGCAUCAUCAAAUUGUGAAUAUGUGCUUUCAGAAUAUGCAUAAUUAUUUGUUGUGCUUGGGGAGCUGAUACACUGGCUAUUAAGACUGAUAAAUUAUGCUUGCAGAGAUAGUGUUUGACUGAACAUUUUGAAUAUGAAAGAUUGGUUAGAGCUGUGGAACCAAAAGGUGAAAUCUGCACUAAAUAUGGUUGACCUUAGAUGCUGUCUAAUUAACCAACAGAUUUCUCGGAUUCUUAUCCCCCAGAUUUAAUAUUCAUUAUUUACUGAAUUUUUUUCUUGUCAUGCAUCAUUUUGCUUGGGAUUGAUUUUAUCCCACUUGCUAUGGCCAUUCAAUUCAAAGAAACACACCUCAUCCAAUGUUCUCAGACUCCUUGUGUCAUUAAUGGUGUGUUCCCAUUUACUGAAGUUGCUGUUGUCGGUAGUGCUGGUGCCACUUUUAAUAUGGUCGUGACAGUUGUUGUGGUGGUCAUUUUUGGUUAAUGUAGGGCUUAUGCAAUUAAAUGGGCCUUGUAAGUUGAUUUCAAUUCUCCAUUCAGCCGAAAGCUGCCCAAUUGUGGAGCACCUAUACGUAAUAUCUGAGAUCACCAUUUUGGCUUUACCCAGCAAUUUUGUAGGGUAAUUUGUAAUAUACGUUAUCUCAUGUUUAUAAUUGUAUAAUUAGGUGCUUAACAAGCUGGCCAUUAGCCAUGUACGCUCUUCU
rnacentral:misc_RNA from 1 species